rnacentral:tRNA from 1 species
UAAGGAGUAUUAUAAAAUAAUAUAUUUCAUUUACAUUGAAAAGAUGGUGAGGAUAGAUUUCCCUUCUUAA